rnacentral:rRNA from 1 species
AUUGAACGCUGGCGGCAGGCCUAACACAUGCAAGUCGAGCGGAUGAAGGGAGCUUGCUCCUGGAUUCAGCGGCGGACGGGUGAGUAAUGCCUAGGAAUCUGCCUGGUAGUGGGGGAUAACGUCCGGAAACGGGCGCUAAUAUCGCAUACGUCCUGAGGGAGAAAGUGGGGGAUCUUAGGACCUCACGCUAUCAGAUGAGCCUAGGUCGGAUUAGCUAGUUGGUGGGGUAAAGGCCUACCAAGGCGACGAUCCGUAACUGGUCUGAGAGGAUGAUCAGUCACACUGGAACUGAGACACGGUCCAGACUCCUACGGGAGGCAGCAGUGGGGAAUAUUGGACAAUGGGCGAAAGCCUGAUCCAGCCAUGCCGCGUGUGUGAAGAAGGUCUUCGGAUUGUAAAGCACUUUAAGUUGGGAGGAAGGGCAGUAAGUUAAUACCUUGCUGUUUUGACGUUACCAACAGAAUAAGCACCGGCUAACUUCGUG